rnacentral:rRNA from 1 species
CGUACGGGUGAGUAACACGUGGAUCAUCUACCUCUUAGUGGGGAAUAACUCUGGGAAACCGGAGCUAAUACCGCAUAAGCCUCGAAAGGGAAAGCAGCAAUGCGCUGAGAGAGGAGUCCGCGGCCGAUUAGCUAGUUGGCAGGGUAAAAGCCUACCAAGGCAUUGAUCGGUAGCCGGCCUGAGAGGGCACACGGCCACACUGGCACUGAAACACGGGCCAG